CUACGGGAGGCUCCAGUGAGGAAUAUUGCACAAUGGGGGGAACCCUGAUGCAGCAACGCCGCGUGGAGGAUGACGCAUUUCGGUGUGUAAACUCCUUUUAUAUGUCAAGAAAAUGACGGUAGCAUAUGAAUAAGCACCGGCUAACUCCGUGCCAGCAGCCGCGGUAAUACGGAGGGUGCAAGCGUUACUCGGAAUCACUGGGCGUAAAGGACGCGUAGGCGGGUUGGAAAGUCAGGUGUGAAAUCCUACAGCUUAACUGUAGAACUGCACUUGAAACUUCUAAUCUAGAGGAGGGGAGGGGGAGAUGGAAUUAGUGGUGUAGGGGUAAAAUCCGUAGAUAUCACUAGGAAUACCUAAAGCGAAGGCGAUCUCCUGGAACAUUACUGACGCUAAGGCGUGAAAGCGUGGGGAGCAAACAGGAUUAGAUACCCCGGUAGUC
rnacentral:rRNA from 1 species